rnacentral:rRNA from 1 species
GACGAACGCUGGCGGCGUGCUUAACACAUGCAAGUCGAACGGAAAGGCCUGCUUUCCCUUGUGGAUUGCGGGUACUCGAGUGGCGAACGGGUGAGUAACACGUGAGUGAUCUGCCCCCAACUUGGGUAUAAGCCUGGGAAACUGGGUCUAAUUCCCGAUAGGACUGCAGGGUGGUGCCUGUGGUGGAAAACGAUUUUCUAGUGGUUGGGGAUGAGCUCGCGGCCUAUCAGCUUGUUGGUGGGGUAAUGGCCUACCAAGGCGGCGACGGGUAGCCGGCCUGAGAGGGUGGACGGCCACAUUGGGACUAAGAUACGGCCCAGACUCCUACGGGAGGCAGCAGUGGGGAAGAUUACACAAUGGGCGGAAGCCUGAUGCAGCGACGCCGCGUGGGGGAUGACGGCCUUCGGGUUGUAAACUCCUUUCGACCGCGAGGAAGCCACCUGGUUGGAAGGGUGGUGACGGUAGUGGUAGAAGAAGCACCGGCUAACUACGUG